rnacentral:rRNA from 1 species
CUCUUGGGGAUUAGUGGCGAACGGGUGAGUAACACGUGAGUAACCUGCCCUUGACUCUGGGAUAACCUCCGGAAACGGAAGCUAAUACCGGAUACGAACUGCGAAGGCAUCUUCAGCAGUUGGAAAGAACUUCGGUCAAGGAUGGACUCGCGGCCUAUCAGGUAGUUGGUGAGGUAACGGCCCACCAAGCCUACGACGGGUAGCCGGCCUGAGAGGGUGACCGGCCACACUGGGACUGAGACACGGCCCAGACUCCUACGGGAGGCAGCAGUGGGGAAUAUUGCACAAUGGGCGCAAGCCUGAUGCAGCAACGCCGCGUGAGGGAUGACGGCCUUCGGGUUGUAAACCUCUUUUAGUAGGGAAGAAGCGAAAGUGACGGUACCUGCAGAAAAAGCACCGGCUAACUACGUGCCAGCAGCCGCGGUAAUACGUAGGGUGCGAGCGUUGUCCGGAAUUAUUGGGCGUAAAGAGCUCGUAGGCGGUCUGUCGCGUCUGCUGUGAAAACCCGAGGCUCAACCUCGGGCCUGCAGUGGGUACGGGCAGACUAGAGUGCGGUAGGGGAGAAUGGAAUUCCUGGUGUAGCGGUGGAAUGCGCAGAUAUCAGGAGGAACACCGAUGGCGAAGGCAGUUCUCUGGGCCGU